UACGGAGGGUGCAAGCAUUAAUCGGAUUUAUUGGGCGUAAAGGGCGCGUAGGCGGGUAUGUAAGUCAGAUGUGAAAUCUCGGAGCUCAACUCCGGAACGGCAUUUGAAACUGCAUGUCUAGAGGGUAGACGGAGAAAGUAGAAUUCCACAAGUAGCGGUGAAAUGCGUAGAUAUGUGGAAGAAUACCAGUGGCGAAGGCGACUUUCUAGUUUAUACCUGACGCUGAGGCGCGAAAGCAAGGGGAUCAAACAGG
rnacentral:rRNA from 1 species